rnacentral:lncRNA from 1 species
GUAACUCCGUUUUUUUUGCUCUUUUGUGGUUUUUUACUCAUAGUAGCUAAUACUUGAACACUUGUGAAAGGGCAUGGCAUAAGCAUGUUCAAGACAAGGCCCCCAAAGAGGAAAUGAUACAUUUUUUGAAAUAAUGAUCAAAUACUUUUUAAGUGAAGAACGGCUUAUUUUAACAUCAAUUAAUCCUCCUCAUUUUACCACUGAGGAAACUGAGGCAAACAGAGUUGAGUGACGUUUCUGGCCAGGAAGUAUCUGAGACUGUGCCCAUGAGUUGCUCUUCAGCCUGCAACACUCCCAGGUUCAAGUAGAUGAGAGAACUGAAGCAAAUGAGGUUAAGUGACUUGCCCUGGGGCACACAGAUAAUAAGUGUCUGAGGCCAGAUUUGAACUGCAGGCUUGACACUCUAUCCAUUGUACCAGAUGAGGAAAAUUCAAGGAAGUUAAGCGACUUGCCUGAUGUCACCCAAGUAAUAAGCAUUGGAAGUAAUCAAUGUCCAGAGAAAGCACACCACAGCUGGUGUUCUUUUCCAGUAUUAUUUCCUGGUCUAUAAAGUCAGAGACUUAGAGUAGUUUCCAAGGGGCUAUGCAGCUAUAGAUGUCAUAAGUAUGAUUCCAUUUUGUUUCUGUACAACUUUCUAGAGAAUCACUUGCUAAAUAAAGUAAUCAAACUGCAU